UCAGUAACCAUUAUGAAGGACAGCAUCACUAAUGAAUAUGUAAAUAACAGUUGCAUCAGUAACCAUUAUGAAGGACAGCAUCACUAAUGAAUAUGUAAAUAACAGUAGCAUCAGUAACCAUUAUGAAGGACAGCAUCACUAAUGAAUAUGUAAAUAACAGUAGCAUCAGUAACCAUUAUGAAGGAUAGCAUCACUAAUGAAUAUGUAAAUAACAGUAGCAUCAGUAACCAUUAUGAAGGACAGCAUCACUAAUGAAUAUGUAAAUAACAGUAGCAUCAGUAACCAUUAUGAAGGACAGCAUCACUAAUGAAUAUGUAAAUAACAGUAGCAUCAGUAACCAUUAUGAAGGACAGCAUCACUAAUGAAUAUGUAAAUAACAGUAGCAUCAGUAACCAUUAUGAAGGACAGCAUCACUAAUAAAUAUGUAAAUAACAGUAGCAUCAGUAACCAUUAUGAAGGAUAGCAUCACUAAUGAAUAUGUAAAUAACAGUAGCAUCAGUAACCAUUAUGAAGGACAGCAUCACUAAUGAAUAUGUAAAUAACAGUAGCAUCAGUAACCAUUAUGAAGGACAGCAUCACUAAUGAAUAUGUAAAUAACAGUAGCAUCAGUAACCAUUAUGAAGGACAGCAUCACUAAUGAAUAUGUAAAUAACAGUAGCAUCAGUAACCAUUAUGAAGGACAGCAUCACUAAUAAAUAUGUAAAUAACAGUAGCAUCAGUAACCAUUAUGAAGGAUAGCAUCACUAAUGAAUAUGUAAAUCACAGUAGCAUCAGUAACCAUUAUGAAGGAUAGCAUCACUAAUGAAUAUGUAAAUAACAGUAGCAUCAGUAACCAUUAUGAAGGACAGCAUCACUAAUGAAUAUGUAAAUAACAGUAGCAUCAGUAACCAUUAUGAAGGACAGCAUCACUAAUGAAUAUGUAAAUAACAGUUGCAUCAGUAACCAUUAUGAAGGACAGCAUCACUAAUGAAUAUGUAAAUAACAGUAGCAUCAGUAACCAUUAUGAAGGACAGCAUCACUAAUGAAUAUGUAAAUAACAGUAGCAUCAGUAACCAUUAUGAAGGAUAGCAUCACUAAUGAAUAUGUAAAUAACAGUAGCAUCAGUAACCAUUAUGAAGGACAGCAUCACUAAUGAAUAUGUAAAUAACAGUAGCAUCAGUAACCAUUAUGAAGGACAGCAUCACUAAUGAAUAUGUAAAUAACAGUAGCAUCAGUAACCAUUAUGAAGGACAGCAUCACUAAUGAAUAUGUAAAUAACAGUAGCAUCAGUAACCAUUAUGAAGGACAGCAUCACUAAUGAAUAUGUAAAUAACAGUAGCAUCAGUAACCAUUAUGAAGGACAGCAUCACUAAUGAAUAUGUAAAUAACAGUAGCAUCAGUAACCAUUAUGAAGGACAGCAUCACUAAUGAAUAUGUAAAUAACAGUAGCAUCAGUAACCAUUAUGAAGGACAGCAUCACUAAUGAAUAUGUAAAUAACAGUAGCAUCAGUAACCAUUAUGAAGGACAGCAUCACUAAUGAAUAUGUAAAUAACAGUAGCAUCAGUAACCAUUAUGAAGGAUAGCAUCACUAAUGAAUAUGUAAAUAACAGUAGCAUCAGUAACCAUUAUGAAGGACAGCAUCACUAAUGAAUAUGUAAAUAACAGUAGCAUCAGUAACCAUUAUGAAGAACAGCAUCACUAAUGAAUAUGUAAAUAACAGUAGCAUCAGUAACCAUUAUGAAGGACAGCAUCACUAAUGAAUAUGUAAAUCACAGUAGCAUCAGCAACCAUUAUGAAGGAUAGCAUCACUAAUGAAUAUGUAAAUAACAGUAGCAUCAGUAACCAUUAUGAAGGACAGCAUCACUAAUGAAUAUGUAAAUAACAGUAGCAUCAGUAACCAUUAUGAAGGACAGCAUCACUAAUGAAUAUGUAAAUAACAGUAGCAUCAGUAACCAUUAUGAAGGAUAGCAUCACUAAUGAAUAUGUAAAUAACAGUAGCAUCAGUAACCAUUAUGAAGGAUAGCAUCACUAAUGAAUAUGUAAAUAACAGUAGCAUCAGUAACCAUUAUGAAGGACAGCAUCACUAAUGAAUAUGUAAAUAACAGUAGCAUCAGUAACCAUUAUGAAGGACAGCAUCACUAAUGAAUAUGUAAAUACUAUAACCAUCAGUAACCUCAAAGAUGUCAUCAAUACACAUUUCAUGUGAAUUAAUCCCAUAAAGAAUGUUUUCUAGUGAAGCCUAUGGAACAUUGUGUUACAAUGCUAUUUGUUAUUGAUCUGAUCUACUAAUAGAUGCAAUCGAUAUGUAUUGAUAUACAUGAUAUAUUUAAUCGAUCGAUAAUAACGUCAGGAUUCUAAAACUGCUUGACAAUAUUUACCUUCGACAAAUGGCGAGACGUUCAGCUGGACAAACAGCUCUCAAUGCAAGGUCCCAUCCUGACAGGCAUCACCCUCUAUCUAGUGUAGAGGAGGCAUCACCCUCUAUCUAGUGUAGAGGAGCCAUCACCCUCUAUCUAGUGUAGAGGAGCCAUCACCCUCUAUCUAGUGUAGAGGAGCCAUCACCCUCUAUCUAGUGUAGAGGAGCCAUCACCCUCUAUCUAGUGUAGAGGAGCCAUCACCCUCUAUCUAGUGUAGAGGAGCCAUCACCCUCUAUCUAGUGUAGAGGAGCCAUCACCCUCUAUCUAGUGUAGAGGAGCCAUCACCCUCUAUCUAGUGUAGAGGAGCCAUCACUCUCUAUCUAGUGUAGAGGAGCCAUCACCCUCUAUCUAGUGUAGAGGAGCCAUCACCCUCUAUCUAGUGUAGAGGAGCCAUCACCCUCUAUCUAGUGUAGAGGAGCCAUCACCCUCUAUCUAGUGUAGAGGAGCCAUCACCCUCUAUCUAGUGUAGAGGAGCCAUCACCCUCUAUCUAGUGUAGAGGAGCCAUCACCCUCUAUCUAGUGUAGAGGCGCCAUCACCCUCUAUCUAGUGUAGAGGAGCCAUCACCCUCUAUCUUCGACUCUCUGGGUGAAAACUCAACACCAGACACUUUGCUGAUUCCAGCCGUCAGUCGUUACUAUGGCAAUUUAAAAUGGCGCUGACCAUAGCUCAAAUAAACCUUGUUGAUGAUCAACAUACUAAAUGUAGAGAUGUUUUUACCUUAAAUGAACAUGGUCAUUAUUAGUGGAUUAAAUACAUCAAGGCCUUCUGCUUGUAACUGUACAUACUUGACGGGUUAUUUUAGACCCUGUUGAUUUAAAACCAGUCAGUUAUCCAAUAGUAAUACAUUCAACAUGCAUCAAUCCACUGAACCUGUUGACCAAUCAGCAUCAAUCCACUGAACCUGUUGACCAAUCAGCAUCAAUCCACUGAACCUGUUGACCAAUCAGCAUCAAUCCACUGCACCUGUUGACCAAUCAGCAUCAAUCCACUGAACCUGUUGACCAAUCAUCAUUAAUACACUGAACCUGUUGACCAAUCAGCAUCAAUCCACUGAACCUGUUGACCAAUCAUCAUCAAUCCCCUGAACCUGUUGACCAAUCAGCAUCAAGCCACUGAACCUGUUGACCAAUCAGCAUCAAUCCACUGAACCUGUUGACCAAUCAUCAUCAAUCCCCUGAACCUGUUGACCAAUCAGCAUCAAUCCACUGAACCUGUUGACCAAUCAUCAUCAAGCCACUGAACCUGUUGACCAAUCAGCAUCAAUCCACUGAACCUGUUGACCAAUCAUCAUCAAUCCCCUGAACCUGUUGACCAAUCUCUCCAUAGCUCUAUAUAACAGACUGAUGACCUGUCUCCAUAGCUCUCUAUAACAGACUGAUGACCUGUCUCCUGAUGAUUGUCUCCAUAGCUGAUAGAAACAGAAGGAAUAUCCUCCCCAAUGACACUACUAAUAAGUGUCCUGAUGAGGAAGAGAUGUCUCCAUUGUCCCUGAACAGCUUGAAGUGUUCAGUCAGAAUGACAGAGACACUUUGUUCCCACUAGUCACAUGUUCAAUAAUGAUGACAUCAUAACAAGACCGGUUAAUGACAGGGCCACUAGUCACAUGUUCAAUAAGAUGUUCUGUUAACUUCAACAUUACUGAACUGUUCUUGUUCUGCCGAUGAUAUGUUGGAACCCAUUAUCAAGGAGACCUACAGUAGUUCAACACAGUGUAGAUAGUAACCUGUUUGUUGAACUGUCUCUAUAGCUCUAUAUAAACAGACUGAUGACCUGUCUCCAUUAUCAAGGAGACCUACAGUAGAUCAACACAGUGUAGAUAGUAACCUGUUUGUUGAACGCCAGUGAGUCUAAGAACAAAACCUGAUACCUGGAGGACAAUGUCUCUACCACAGGUCACCAAGGAAACAGUAACACUACCUAUAAUGUCUCUACCACAGGUCACCAAGGAAACAGUAACACUACCUACAAUGUCUCUACCACAGGUUACCAAGGAAACACUGACACUACCUAUAAUGUCUCUACCACAGGUCACCAAGGAAACAGUGACACUACCUAUAAUGUCUCUACCACAGGUCACCAAGGAAACAGUGACACUACCUACAAUGUCUCUACCACAGGUUACCAAGGAAACAGUGACACUACCUAGUAACAUUCAAUAAUGUUAAAAUAUUACACUGGAGUCACGUUCUGACACAAUGAUGUCCUAGUUUAGUAAAACAAGAAAUAAUCAAUACAUGGAAAAUAUCAUUCAACUGUAUAUACAUGAUCAAUAUAUAAUAUGCAGUGGGGUCUGGAAUUAUAGACACCCUUGAUAAAGAUAAUAAUGACUGUAUAAAUACAUCAAUAUAUAAUAUACAGUGGGGUCUGGAAUUAUAGACACCCCUGAUAAAGAUAAUAAUGACUGUAUAAAAUACAUCAAUAUAUAAUAUACAGUGGGGUCUGGAAUUAUAGACACCCUUGAUAAAGAUAAUAAUGACUGUAUA